rnacentral:rRNA from 1 species
AUUGAACGCUGGCGGCAGGCUUAACACAUGCAAGUCGAGCGGGGUGAUGGUGCUUGCACUAUCACUUAGCGGCGGACGGGUGAGUAAUGCUUAGGAAUCUGCCUAUUAGUGGGGGACAACAUCUCGAAAGGGAUGCUAAUACCGCAUACGUCCUACGGGAGAAAGCAGGGGAUCACUUGUGACCUUGCGCUAAUAGAUGAGCCUAAGUCGGAUUAGCUAGUUGGUGGGGUAAAGGCCUACCAAGGCGACGAUCUGUAGCGGGUCUGAGAGGAUGAUCCGCCACACUGGGACUGAGACACGGCCCAGACUCCUACGGGAGGCAGCAGUGGGGAAUGUUGGACAAUGGGGGGAACCCUGAUCCAGCCAUGCCGCGUGUGUGAAGAAGGCCUUAUGGUUGUAAAGCACUUUAAGCGGGGAGGAGGCUCUUUUGGUUAAUACCCAAGAUGAGUGGACGUUACUCGCAGAAUAAGCACCGGCUAACUCUGUGCCAGCCGCCGCGGUAA